UACGUAGGGGGCAAGCGUUGUCCGGAAUUAUUGGGCGUAAAGAGCGUGUAGGCGGUCCGGUAAGUCAGCUGUGAAAGUCAAGGGCUCAACCCUUGAAUGCCGGUUGAUACUGUCGGGCUAGAGUCCGGAAGAGGCGAGUGGAAUUCCCGGUGUAGCGGUGAAAUGCGUAGAUAUCUGGAGGAACACCGGUGGCGAAGGCGACAUCCUGGACCGGUAUUGACGCUGAGGCGCGAAAGCCAGGGGAGCAAACGGG
rnacentral:rRNA from 1 species